GACGAACGCUGGCGGCGUGCUUAACACAUGCAAGUCGAACGGAAAGGCCAUGAUUUUGUGGGUUGCUUGAGUGGCGAACGGGUGAGUAACACGUGAGUAACAUGCCCUUGACUUUGGGAUAACUCCAGGAAACUGGGGCUCAAACAGGAUAGGAGCUCUUGAUGCACGGGGGGGGUUGGAAAGUUGCGGCGGUUGGGGCAGGACUCGCGGCUUCUCAGCUUGUUGGUGGGGUUGUGGAUUACAAAGGUUUUGACGGGUAGCCGGCCUGGGAGGGUGACCGGCUACAGUGGCAUAGGGAUACGGCCCAUACGCCAACGGGCGGAAGCGGUGGGGACUAUUGCACAAUGGGCGGAGUCCGUAUGCAGCAACGCCGGGUGCGGGAUGACGGCCUUCGGGUUGUAAACCGCUUGCGCCUGUGACGAAGCGUGAGGGACGUAAAUGGGUAAAAAAGCACCGGCAACCUACGG
rnacentral:rRNA from 1 species